ACCAACAUGGAUUUGGGGAGCAUAGUGUAAAUCCGGUACAGAUACCUCCGAUUUCAGAGCUAGCACCAGAGAAAGUAGCCAACCAUCAAGAGGAAGGCCAGUGAAUAAAUCAAGUACUGGUCUUGAAGUCUUAGAGCUAAGCAGUAGCAUCGAAGCUAGCUUGGCAAGAGAUAAGCUCGAGCUUCAUUACUAUAUGAGUCGAGUGAGAGCAUCUUUCUUCCUCUCGAUGUCUUUGUUUCAUGCUAAUGCCCUUUUGUUUGCGCUGUGUGCUCUGCACAUUCUAGCUAGCAAGCAAGCACAACAAAGCAGCAUGAGUCUUUCGCGCUAAUGCCAUCAGUUUUUUGGGGAGGGAUUGAUAGAUUCACUGAUAAGCCAUCCCAUCUCGAAUGAGAUGUCGGAGGGAGAUAUAGAGGGGUAUGGGGUUCGAGACAAAGAAACACUACAAGAAAAACCAAUUUUUGCUGCCAAGUUAUUAUGCUGCGUACAUUUUUUAGACGUAACAAAGGGUUAAUUACUGUAGCGGCAUUUUUCUUGUGGCGGGACUUAAAUUCGCAAUGGGUGAUAUGUAUUACGGCGAAUUAGACUCGUCGUAAGAAUUUAUUUCGAUUGUGCACAUGGAAAUACGUUUGUCAUUCUGUUGCAGCGACAUUUUCCCAGCCGCAUUAAACUCCACCAGGCAAAUGCGAGGAAUUGCCUAAAAACGUCUCUCCGCAAUCAGUUGUGCCAUCGAAAUUUUCCAGAAAUUGGCUUCUCGGUGACCAUCGACUUCGACACCUGACACCGUCCACCUCCUCCACGCCGUCGUUCCACGCCUCCUCGCCUGGCCGUGCAUCGAGUGCCUUGAUAUAUAUUGGAGAAAUUGGUGGGGAAAGUACAAUGACAGAGCAUAGUGCAACUAGUAGGCAUAUUUUUGUGGCAAGUUGCAGAUGAUUGAAUCUGAGAUUUUAGUUGUAACUAAUAAAGAGUUUGACUUUGAAAAUUUGUAAAUUAAUGCAGUCUUGAACUUUGUCAUUAAUGAAUUUAUUUCUGCAUGGAUCCUGUAAUACCAAGCAUUUUGCCAAACUAUACAUGUAACUGCCUUUUUCUAUUAAUAUGAGAUACUCAUGGACGAUUGAUGAUCAAA